rnacentral:RNase_P_RNA from 1 species
GGGAGACGGAGGACGGCCGACGGUAGCCGCAAGGCAGCUGAGGAAGUUCCCUCCUCCAAGGGCGAGGUGGAUCCGGAAAUCGGAUACGGCGAGAGCCGUGGCAAGGGCACAGAAACGACACAGACCCGGUCGACAGGAUGAUCCAUUGGAUGGUGACGUUCCCGGGGAUUUGGUGAAACGGCGACUCCCCACCGGAGCAAGUCCGCACAGCGGGGCAGACCGGCCCGGGACCCGCGGGUAGGACGCGAAGUUGAAUGCCGUCUGAAACAGAAGGGGGGCUACUACCGCCACC